AAGGAAGUGCUUAGUUUUAAUUUUGAUUUGAUUAAAAGUGUUUAAAGUUAAAUGUCAUAACAAUGUUACAAUCGUGAAGGUUUUUGUUUUUCAUUUAAAAUGUGGCUGUUUACUUGAAUUAAUUUAGUUCACAACAUGCAGGUGAUAUUUCACAAUGUCACAAAACCAGGAUGAUUCACCUGUUGUGUUCGACCAGGAACCUAGUCAACAUUUCAAAUGUCCAUCGUGUCAGAAGUUAUAUAUCGAUCCAGUCAUAAAUAUCGGAUGUGGUCAUACAUUUUGUAAAAACUGCUCACAGCAAAUAUCCACCUGUCCUGUGGAUGGAAAUGCAUGUGAUGCAAAUCAGAUGGUGGUUAAUAGACUUGUUGUCGGUCAGAUAGAUGAUUUAUUAAUCUAUUGUAAGUAUGGAUUGGUUAAACAAGAAGAUACAUAUGUUCCUGAUCCAACGGGUUGCCAGCAGAAAAUUCACCUAGGCUCUAGAUCCAGUCAUGAAGAUGAAUGUGAUUUUGCACCAAUAACAUGUUCAAAUAGAAACUGUACAGCUUCAUUGAGGAAAGGUGAACUUGACGAACACCAGAAAGUCUGUGUCUACAUCACAUGUGCUCAUGAAGAUAAAGGAUGUGAGUUUCAAGGGCGACAGGAGGAAGUGACUGAGCAUGGGAAAAUUUGUGGCUACAGGGGUUUACAGAAUCUUUCUAAACAGUCUGCUGGUAUAGAUCAAAAGACUAUACAGCUGGAAGAGAGCAAUAAAGAUCUACAGAAACAAAUUACUACACUAAAUAUGAGAGUAGGUCAGUUAGAGGAGUCAAAUACAUCCCUACAGGGCCAGCUCACUGAAUGUCUUGGGUCCAUGAAAGAGAUGCAGCAGAAGUUUGAUGGUCUUGUAUCUUCAAUAGAACAACUUACAUCAGUGAAGAAUAGAAGAUCAUAUGGCUCCCCCGGUAACACAGGAGAACCAAGGUCAAGGUCGUCAUCACAUAAUUUAUACCAAGAAAUUCAUCGUUCAUUUAGGAAGUCAUUAUCAGGAAGUCCUCCUCUAAUUGAAAAAUACGAAAGAUGGAAUAUGCCAUUUCAGUUUAAAUGUAUUGGAACACUAAGGGGGCACCAGAAUGUUGUUUGGUGUAUGGCAUCAAAAAACAAGAAGUUGUUUACAGCGGGGUCAGAUUGUUGUAUUAAGGUGUGGGACUUGGAAAAUUUACAAAGAGGCUGUAUAAAAACUAUACAGGGACAUACUAAGUCUAUACAGUGUAUGUGUAUAGGUGGUAAUUUCUUGUAUACAGGAGGACAUGAUAAUAGUGUAUACUGCUGGAGUCUAGAUGAUUAUAAUCUGGUAAAUAUGAUUGAGAAUGCUCAUGACAAUAUUAUAUGUGCUAUGGCUGUGAUUGGAGAUUUCUUGUUUACCUCAUCGUUCUCAUUAAUCAAGGUAUGGGAAUCCAAAUCUUUGAUAUUGAAACACACAAUACCUGGCCUACAUCACUGGGUUAGAGCUCUCGCAUUAAAUCCAGAAAAGGACAAGUUAUACAGUGGUUCUCACAACACUAUAGAUAUUUGGAGUGUAACUGAACCAUUUGCACUGAAAGGAAAGGUUGACCACCAGUUUGGCUCCAUUUAUUCCCUUGCAGUUACAUCAAAAUACAUUAUAGCAGGAACAUAUAACAGGAAUAUACAUGUUUUCAAUGCAACCACAUAUGAGUACAUGAAUGCUCUAAAAGGUCAUAUAGGGGUUGUGCUAAAUAUAGUAACAUCACCAUGUGAAGGAUUUUGUUUUUCCUGCUCCUCGGAUAGAACAAUCAAGGGACUUACAAUCACAAUCUACAAUUGUUUGAUGUCAAAAACACGAAGCAUCUUUUAGAGUUGAUGGGUCAUAUAGGGGUAGUUCAUAGCAUAGUGCCUUCAGUCUCGGGACGUUUUCUUUUCUCCGCAUCUAUUGAUAAAUCAAUUCAGAUCUGGAAUUUAGAGAAUAUGUUACCUAUUCAGACAUUACAGAGACAUGAAGGAAGUGUCAACACUCUUGUUGUUCAUGGUGAUUUUCUCUUCUCAGGUUCAGAGGAUAAAGAAAUCAAG